GCUCCUGCGGAUCUCCUCCACCGACCAGGGCCGCUCCCACACGGGCUCGGACACCGGAGGCCGCUCCUGGUCGGGGGCGGUCCCGUUCAUCUGCAGCGGGAAGGACGAGAAGAGGGACUGAGCUCCGGGGAGGCGGCGGUCAGGGCCAAACCCGAACCCGAACCCCCGCCCUCACCAUCCUGGCUGUGCAGUUCGGUGGGCUCAGGGAGCCGCAGGACCGCACCCGCUAAGCCCCGAAAGUCUCCGGAAGCUAGCGGUGGGGGGCCUGGCACGUGACCGGCCUCACGUGACCAGAGAGCAGGUGACCUGCGCCUCAUGUGACCGGAUGCGGGGCGCUGCGGAAGGAGGCCGGGCAGCUCUCUGAGGUACGCGAGUUAGAAGAGCCCUGCAGUCCCAUGGGUGGACUUACGGAUUAUCAUACUAAGUGAAUGCUGCUGUACCUGUGGAUUAUGACACAAACAAGUGCCAGAUAAUCUUCAACAAGGAGACCUGCACCUAUGCAGUGGUGGAACAGGAGGACCCAGAAAAGACUUGUGCUGUCAGUGGAUGGGUGUUAUAAUGUGCUUCUCAUGGACCCAGAGCUCCCAGCCUGCUGGGGGCGCCCAGGUUCUCCCAGGCCAGGCGUCAUUCUCCUAUGGCCUCUAAUAGUCUAUGAUUGUGUAACCCCACCUAUCAGUCAAAAGUGUUUUGAGCAAACACUUGAAUAUGUGUAUACUUUUAGUUUAUACAUUAUGUAUGCAUUGAUAAUACACACAUUAUAAAGCAUGUAAACAUUUAAAGGAGACAAAAAUAAAUAUGAAUAAAAGUUAUUUUCCCUCCACUCCCAUAGAUCAUUGUGCAUCCCUUACUCAGGGGAGCACUGCUGCUUCUCUUGCUUCUGAUAGAUCUGUGCUUUGCUGCCCCAGUGUCCCACUAUCUGGUGAAAAAUUCAAAAUAUAAAUGUGUCUUAAAGAUGAAA